GUUUUAUUUAUAAUUUUUGUUUUAUUUAAUUUGAAUAAAACGUUAUAUUUUUUUUUAGUGAGCAAGAAGGAAGACACAAGGAAAUGGAUGUGAUAAUAUAAUUUGUAAGUUUACGUGUUUCGAAAUAGGAAUAGAACGUCUCGAGUGACAUAAGUAUUUGAAUGAUUUUAAAAUUCAUUCAAUUCAAAAAAAUAUUUCGAUAAAAAAGAAUUGUUCGAAAAACUUAUUUUCCUCAGCUUUAAUCAUGCAAACAGAUUGCAAUCAAUUGCUAAUACAAA